UACGAAGGGUGCAAGCGUUACUCGGAAUUACUGGGCGUAAAGCGUGAGUAGGUGGUUUCUUAAGUCUGCUGUGAAAGCCCCGGGCUCAACCUGGGAAUUGCAGUGGAUACUGGGAAGCUAGAGUGCGGUAGAGGGUAGUGGAAUUCCCGGUGUAGCGGUGAAAUGCGUAGAUAUCAGGAGGAACACCGAUGGCGAAGGCAGGUCUCUGGGCUGACACUGACGCUCAUGCACGAAAGCGUGGGGAGCAAACAGG
rnacentral:rRNA from 1 species